rnacentral:rRNA from 1 species
AUUGAACGCUGGCGGCAUGCCUUACACAUGCAAGUCGAACGGUAACAGGUCUUCGGAUGCUGACGAGUGGCGAACGGGUGAGUAAUACAUCGGAACGUGCCCGAGAGUGGGGGAUAACGAAGCGAAAGCUUUGCUAAUACCGCAUACGAUCUCAGGAUGAAAGCAGGGGACCGCAAGGCCUUGCGCUCACGGAGCGGCCGAUGGCAGAUUAGGUAGUUGGUGGGAUAAAAGCUUACCAAGCCGACGAUCUGUAGCUGGUCUGAGAGGACGACCACCCACACUGGGACUGGGACCCGGCCCAGACUCCUACGGGAGGCAGCAGUGGGGAAGUGUGGACAAUGGGCGAAAGCCUGAUCCAGCCAUGCCGCGUGCAGGAUGAAGGCCUUCGGGUUGUAAACUGCUUUGUACGGAACGAAAAGACUCUGGUUAAUACCUGGAGUCCAUGACGGUACCGUAAGAAUAAGCACCGGCUAACUACGUGCCAGCCGCCGCCGUAA